AGAUGCCAGUUCAGAAGGCUUCAGUAUUGCAGUGCACCCUGCGGCCAGGGCUGGAGCCACUUUCCAUGUAGCCAACAAUAGUGGGUAAUUCCUUCAAUAAAAGAGACAAGAAAUAGUUAGUUUCUAUAACAUCUGGUUUAUUAUUAGAAUUUAGAAGUAACAAAUGAAGAGAGUCCCAAAAAACAAAAACUGACAGCCAACAUGAUUCCAAGAGACAACAUACCAUCACAUUAGAGAUCUUCAUGAACUCAUGAAUGGGAUCAAGGAAUUAGGUAAGAUAUAAAACGAAGACGUAAUAAUGAAGUAGCAAAUAAUGAUGGUAGCAAUGGAGCAAAAUGUAUUUUACAGAUGUCUCAUUUCUUCACCAAAAAGGAUUUUGACCAGUCCUCAUUGAUGAUUGUAAACUAAAUUGGAAAGCACAAAAAUAACUUCAGUGAGGAACUAAAACCGUGGUUGCGUGCAUUGUGACUUUAGCAAGUCGACAUCUAGGUGACAAUUAUAAAGUUACAAGUUAUAACCCAGACUACAGCAUUCCAGAUAGCAUAGAAAGUAGAGUUCAAGUGCAACUACAAGCAACCAGUAUAACUGCAACAACACAUUGCAUCUCAGGAGAAGUGAGAGUUAGAUUGCGACAACAAAUUCAAUGGAGAACCGUAAAAGGUUGCUACAAGACUUGGAUAGAAAUAAUUCACAACUGAAAUCUAAUAAUGGAAAGCAGACUCUUCAAAUAAUAUUCUGCAGAAUUAAAGAAACCACUAUCUUGCAUAGACUUCAACUGAACAAUUUUAAGAGAAUGAUUACUUUCAAAACAACAUAGUACUUAAAAAGCUAUGAUGGCACCAGUGGUCUCAACUCAUAAAGACAUUUUAUUAGCAAUAUAAAGAUUAUGGAAAAGGUAGAAGCUCCAGGCUCUUGAACAUGCUAAGAAAUUAAUAAGUCACACUUCAUUUUAUAUAUUUUUUCCAUGCAAUGAAUAGAUCUUCUCAGAUCCACACAAUUCUUUCUUCCAGCUUCCUAAUUUCCUAUAAUACAAAAACCAAGAUGUGCUUUUUUUUACAAUGCUACAUUCAUUGACAUUGGUGUAGCUGAAAAAAAUGUAGAGCUUACUGGUAACGAUUCAUUUUAAAACAUUUGACACGCCCAUGCCAGAAAAUUUUUAAUUACAAGAAGGUAAACAUUACAUAAGAAAGAAAGAAACAGGCAUAAAUGUAUCACACAGCGAUG